rnacentral:sRNA from 1 species
UCGUAACGCUCCGACUGCGCGUCUCUACCGAUUGAAAGGCUGCCCCUUGUGGGCGGCCUUUUUUGUUGGUGUUU